ensembl:lncRNA
GUGUGGCUUCUGCUUGGUUGGAAUGAAAACCUGUACACACACUGGUCCUUUGUGGAUCUGAUUGGACACCCCUGAUCUAGCUAGUCUAGCUCACUCAUCUAGCUAUUGGCUUAUCUGUGCAUAUUUCCACAGGUUGAAUUUUGAGCAGUGAAGUACCAAUAUCUCCACAGGGUUCUGAAGGAUUUGGGAACUGGUCAUGCAGAGAGAUCAGGGGAUUGGGAAUGUAUUUUCUGGCCUUGAUCCACAUUAUACUUGAACUUGCCCUGAAAGGCACAAGGUACAGCUUCCAGUCAUGUUAUGCGGUCACAGGGGAACCUGGAGCCUAUCCCAGGAAGCAUCGGGCACAAGGCGGGGUGCACCCUGGACACGGUGCCAGUCCAUCGCAGGGCACAAAUUUGUGUAAUUUCAUUCUGAAAUGCAAACUUUUUAAGAAAACUUGAGAACUUCCACAGAUACUGUCAUAAAAAAAAAGAGGUCGUUAGAAAUGAUAUAAUUUUGUAUCAUCCCUUUGUGCUAUUGUAGCUGUUUCAGUAGCUAGAUAAUAGCAAACUGAUCUAUAUAAAUCAGAAGAGCUGACAGUGCACAGAGAACCUUAAAAAAUAAAUAAAAAUAUAUAUCUUUACG